AUUAAUUUUCUCCCAAGUUAAAUUCUCUCAUGGCUGCCCAUUACGAUAAUACAAGUCCCUUGAACAAAGCCAAAGUUCAACCCUUGCAUAAUGAAUCAGAAGGUGAGCCGCAGAAGCUGCAGAAUUUUGCAUUNNNNNNNNACUCGUUGUAUGUCUUUCAUGGAAUCUCGUGGCUGUAACAUGUUUAUGGAUUCUGGGAGGGGCAGAAAAUAUAACCUUGUUGCUCGCCAUCGCCGUCUUGGUGCUUGGAGUUCCAGCAGCCUAUGCAUCAUGGUAUCGUACGCUUAGUCUUGCUUUUAGAGAAGAAGAUAAUGCGUCGAAGUUCCAUGAGUUUUUACUGUUGUACCUUAUCCACCUUGCCUUCUGCGUAUUUGCUUCAAUAAAUACUC
rnacentral:misc_RNA from 1 species